UCUAAAAUGGCAGAUCAUUGCAUAGGGUUUAAGCCCCUAAUAGGAAAUAAUUAUUUCUUUUAGAA
rnacentral:tRNA from 1 species